GUGCGGCCCAGCGCAGUUGUCAACAAUGGCGGCAGCUAGAUGCAGUGGAUGAAGGACCCUUAGGUGAGGAAGAGGCAUGCUGGGAUUCAUGGGACUGCUGCGAGAGCAGUCACCUGGAACCACUGCUGCAGUCUGUUAUGAAGAGGAUUCACAGCUGCAGCUCAGUCACCAGCUGCUGCACGGUGUGAGAGCGCAGCCGGCCGAUCUCCAAGACGCCCUCGUGGUUCACGCUUUCUGUGUCCUCGUAACUCUUCACCACCUGAAGCAAAGUGAGACAUCACAGAGUCUUUGUAAC